rnacentral:rRNA from 1 species
CCUACGGGAGGCAGCAGUGAGGAAUAUUGGUCAAUGGGCGGAAGCCUGAACCAGCCAAGUAGCGUGCGGGAUGAAGGCCCUACGGGUCGUAAACCGCUUUUGCACGGGGAUAACACCCUCCACUUGUGGAGGUCUGCAGGUACCGUGCGAAUAAGGGCCGGCUAAUUCCGUGCCAGCAGCCGCGGUAAUACGGAAGGCCCGAGCGUUAUCCGGAUUCAUUGGGCUUAAAGGGAGCGUAGGCGGGCGUUCAAGUCAGCUGUAAAAUCGCGCGGCUCAACCGCGCCCCGCAGUUGAAACUGGACGCC